rnacentral:rRNA from 1 species
AUUGAGCGCUGGCGGCAGGCCUAACACAUGCAAGUCGAGCGGAUGAAGGGAGCUUGCUCCUGGAUUCAGCGGCGGGCGGGUGAGUAAUGCCUAGGAAUCUGCCUGGUAGUGGGGGAUAACGUCCGGAAACGGGCGCUAAUACCGCAUACGUCCUGAGGGAGAAAGUGGGGGAUCUUCGGACCUCACGCUAUCAGAUGAGCCUAGGUCGGAUUAGCUAGUUGGUGGGGUAAAGGCCUACCAAGGCGACGAUCCGUAACUGGUCUGAGAGGAUGAUCAGUCACACUGGAACUGAGACACGGUCCAGACUCCUACGGGAGGCAGCAGUGGGGAAUAUUGGACAAUGGGCGGAAGCCUGAUCCAGCCAUGCCGCGUGUGUGAAGAAGGUCUUCGGAUUGUAAAGCACUUUAAGUUGGGAGGAAGGGCAGUAAGUUAAUACCUUGCUGUUUUGACGUUACCAACAGAAUAAGCACCGGCUAACUUCGUG